rnacentral:rRNA from 1 species
UACGGGGGGGGGCAAGCGUUGUUCGGAAUUACUGGGCGUAAAGGGCUCGUAGGCGGCCAACUAAGUCGGACGUGAAAUCCCUCGGCUUAACCGGGGAACUGCGUCCGAUACUGGAUGGCUUGAGUUCGGGAGAGGGAUGCGGAAUUCCAGGUGUAGCGGUGAAAUGCGUAGAUAUCUGGAGGAACACCGGUGGCGAAGGCGGCAUCCUGGACCGACACUGACGCUGAGGAGCGAAAGCCAGGGGAGCAAAACGGG